rnacentral:ncRNA from 1 species
GACGCGAAGAGAGAUGACCAGGUUCAGGAUGAAGCUUGGGUGAAACAAAGUGGAGGUCCGAACCGACUGAUGUUGAAGAAUCAGCGGAUGAGUUGUGG